rfam:Bacteroidetes bacterium GWE2_42_42 gwe2_scaffold_56, whole genome shotgun sequence.
UUGCAGCGGGUAAGUCCUGUACAACCAGCUCCCGCGAACUCCCCCAGGUUCGGAAGGAAGCAAGGGUAAGUGGUUGAAGCGGUGUGAUAUGGGUACUUACCCAUUU